CCUACGGGAGGCAGCAGUGAGGAAUCUUCCACAAUGGGCGAAAGCCUGAUGGAGCAACGCCGCGUGAAGGAUGAAGGCCUUCGGGUUGUAAACUUCUUUUAUGAGUGAAGAAUAUGACGGUAACUCAUGAAUAAGCACCGGCUAACUACGUGCCAGCAGCCGCGGUCAUACGUAGGGUGCAAGCAUUAUCCGGAGUGACUGGGCGUAAAGAGUUGCGUAGGCGGUUUAAUAAGUGAAUAGUGAAACCUGGUGGCUCAACCAUACAGACUAUUAUUCAAACUGUUAAACUCGAGAAUGGUAGAGGUAACUGGAAUUUCUAGUGUAGGAGUGAAAUCCGUAGAUAUUAGAAGGAACACCGAUGGCGUAGGCAGGUUACUGGGCCAUUUCUGACGCUAAGGCACGAAAGCGUGGGGAGCGAACCGGA
rnacentral:rRNA from 1 species